rnacentral:rRNA from 1 species
UCGCCAACACUGGGAMUGAGACACUGCCCAGACUCCUACGGGAGGCUGCAGUCGAGAAUCAUUCGCAAUGGGCGAAAGCCUGACGAUGCGACGCCGUGUGAGCGAUGAAGGCCUUAGGGUUGUAAAGCUCCUCGCCUGGAUCAAGAGAGUAAGCUAACAUCUUGCCAAUUUGAGGGUACCAGGUAAAGAAGCACCGGCUAACUCC